ACCUCUACCAGCUUCAUCCUCGCUGCUCUUCUCUGUCACUGGUGUUCUAGCCAAAAUCUGGAGUGGACAGGCUCAGCAACCUGGGCCACACCCCUGCCUUUUUCUGGCUUUGUUGUCCCAAUCAAGGUUACGGAGGUCUGGAAUAACUGCCUCCACCCCGAAGAGCCUUGACUGUCUUUCAUUCGCAGAUGUUGCCAUCAUGGAAGGAGAGCCCAGGGAAGACAGAACAGUGAAUGGCGAGGACUCUGCAGCAGAAGAUGUGAUAUACGCUCACUUGGACCUCGG